CCUACGGGAGGCAGCAGUGAGGAAUAUUGGUCAAUGGACGCAAGUCUGAACCAGCCAUGUCGCGUGCAGGAAGACGGCUCUAUGAGUUGUAAACUGCUUUUGUACGAGGGUAAACGCAGAUACGCGUAUCUGUCUGAAAGUAUCGUACGAAUAAGGCACGGCUAACUUCGGUCCAGCAGCCGCGGUUAUACGGAGGAUUCAAGCGUUUUCCGGAUUUAGUGGGUUUAAAGGGUGGGUAGGCGGUGGGAUAAGUUAGAGGUUAAAUCCCGAGGCUCAACUUCGGAAUUGCCUUUGAUACUGGUAGGCUUGAGAGUAGGUGAGGUAGGCGGAAUGCAUGGUGUAGCGGUGAAAUGCUUAGAGAUCAUACAGAACACCGAUUGCGAAGGCAGCUUACCAAGCUACUUCUGACGUUGAGGCACGAAAGCGUGGGGAGCAAACAGGAUUAGAUACCCUGGUAGUC
rnacentral:rRNA from 1 species